ACUCAAAUGAAUUGACGGGGGCCCGCACAAGCAGCGGAGCGUGUGGUUUAAUUCGAUGCAACACGAAAAACCUCACCAGGGUUUGACAUGUCGGAAGUAGCGAACUGAAAAGGAAACCAACUGUUAAGCCAGUAGCCGUCACAGGUGCUGCAUGGCUGUCGUCAGCUCGUGCCGUGAGGUGUAUGGUUAAGUCCUGCAACGAGCGCAACCCUCGUGGUUAGUUGUUUUCUCUAACCAGACCGCCCCGCAAAACGGGGAGGAAGGUGGGGAUGACGUCAAGUCAGCAUGGCCUUUAUACCCUGGGCUACACACACGCUACAAUGGGUGGUACAAUGGGUAGCAACAACGCGAGUUGAAGCCAAUCCCUUAAAGCCAUCCUCAGUACAGAUUGUAGGCUGAAACUCGCCUGCAUGAAGUCGGAGUUGCUAGUAAACGCAAAUCAGCAUGUUGCGUUGAAUACGUUCUCGGGCCUUGUACACACCGCCCGU
rnacentral:rRNA from 1 species